UACAGAGGUCCCAAGCGUUGUUCGGAUUCACUGGGCGUAAAGGGUGCGUGAGGUGGUGAGGUAAGUCGGAUGUGAAAUCUCCGAGCUCAACUCGGAAAUGGCAUUGGAAACUACCUUGCUCGAGGGUUGGAGGGGGACGUGGAAUGCUGGUGUAGCAGGUGAAAUGCGUAGAUAUCAAGGCGGAACACCAUGGCGGAAGGCGAGUCCCUGGACAACUCCAUGACACUGAGGCACGAAAGCUAGGGGAGC
rnacentral:rRNA from 1 species